rnacentral:rRNA from 1 species
UACAGAGGGUGCAAGCGUUGUUCGGAAUUACUGGGCGUAAAGAGUGUGUAGGCGGUGUUCCAAGUCUGGUGUGAAAUCUCCCGGCUUAACUGGGAGGGUGCAUUAGAAACUGGAAUGCUAGAGGAUGGGAGAGGUAAGCGGAAUUCCUGGUGUAGCGGUGAAAUGCGUAGAUAUCAGGAGGAACACCUGUGGUGUAGACAGCUUACUGGACCAUUUCUGACGCUGAGACACGAAAGCGUGGGUAGCAAACAGG